rnacentral:rRNA from 1 species
UACGUAGGUGGCAAACGUUGUCCGGAUUUACUGGGCGUAAAGAGCGCGCAGGCGGUCGUUCAAGUCGCGUGUGAAAGCCCCCGGCUCAACUGGGGAGGGUCACGCGAUACUGAUCGACUCGAAGGCAGGAGAGGGUAGUGGAAUUCCCGGUGUAGUGGUGAAAUGCGUAGAUAUCGGGAGGAACACCAGUGGCGAAGGCGACUACCUGGCCUGUUCUUGACGCUGAGGCGCGAAAGCUAGGGGAGCAAACGGG